rnacentral:rRNA from 1 species
AUGCCGAUGUUAGCUUGCGACGGUUUUACACCGACGCCGGUCUCCAAAAUAACAUACUCCCGCGAGGCAUACCUCUUGCAUACCCCGACGAGUCCGCUAGGUCGUCUAGAAGUCCGAGCCGAGCAGGACCCAUGCAACUUCAACCCCAACUAUAGCAUCGCCGCCAAGACCGACGAGGCGUGGCGGCGAGGGCGGAGGUGGCUAGCAGAAAGCCAUGUUUUGAGCGGCACGUGUACCGACGAGGACACGGGCUCUGCUGCUGCCCACGCCAUACACACCAUCAUCAUCAUGCAUGGAGAUUGCGAAGCAAAGACAACGAAGACGACCACACGGCUUAAUCGGAGGUAUCUCGCAGAGCAACCCGUGGGAGUAAUUAAUCGAGAGCCUUCCGAGGCCCCGGGAACCAGGAGACCGCACAUCGCUAUAGUCAGGCAGGCCGCGCUAGUAGGCCACGAAGCGCAUAUGUAUGGGGAACUUGUAAUUUUGUUUCUCCGAUGA